rnacentral:rRNA from 1 species
CUCCUUAAUUUAGUGGCGCACGGGUGAGUAAUGCGUAGAUAAUCUACCUGGGGAUCUGGGAUAACAUUCCGAAAGGAGUGCUAAUACCGGAUAAGCCCACGGAGUCUUCGGACUCUGCGGAAAAGGGGGGGACCUUCGGGCCUUCCGUCUCUGGAUGAGUCUACGUACCAUUAGCUAGUUGGUGGGGUAAAGGCCUACCAAGGCGACGAUGGUUAGCUGGUCUGAGAGGAUGAUCAGCCACACUGGAACUGAGACACGGUCCAGACUCCUACGGGAGGCAGCAGUGGGGAAUUUUGCGCAAUGGGGGAAACCCUGACGCAGCAACGCCGCGUGAGUGAUGAAGGCCUUCGGGUCGUAAAGCUCUGUCAGAGGGAAAGAAGUGUAUUAUGGUUAAUACCCGUGAUACUUGACGGUACCCUCAAAGGAAGCACCGGCUAACUCCGUGCCAGCAGCCGCGGUAA